rnacentral:tRNA from 1 species
AUGCGUCGGCCGGGAAUCGAACCCGGAGCGCCCGCGUGGCAGGCGAGCAUUCUACCACUGAACCAAAAGCA